rnacentral:rRNA from 1 species
AUGCAGUCGACGAUGAACCACUUCGGUGGGGAUUAGUGGCGAACGGGUGAGUAACACGUGGGCAAUCUGCCCUGCACUCUGGGACAAGCCCUGGAAACGGGGUCUAAUACCGGAUAUUGACCUUCACGGGCAUCUGUGAGGUUCGAAAGCUCCGGCGGUGCAGGAUGAGCCCGCGGCCUAUCAGCUUGUUGGUGAGGUAAUGGCUCACCAAGGCGACGACGGGUAGCCGGCCUGAGAGGGCGACCGGCCACACUGGGACUGAGACACGGCCCAGACUCCUACGGGAGGCAGCAGUGGGGAAUAUUGCACAAUGGGCGAAAGCCUGAUGCAGCGACGCCGCGUGAGGGAUGACGGCCUUCGGGUUGUAAACCUCUUUCAGCAGGGAAGAAGCGAAAGUGACGGUACCUGCAGAAGAAGCGCCGGCUAACUACGUGCCAGCAGCCGCGGUAAUACGUAGGGCGCAAGCGUUGUCCGGAAUUAUUGGGCGUAAAGAGCUCGUAGGCGGCUUGUCACGUCGGUUGUGAAAGCCCGGGGCUUAACCCCGGGUCUGCAGUCGAUACGGGCAGGCUAGAGUUCGGUAGGGGAGAUCGGAAUUCCUGGUGUAGCGGUGAAAUGCGCAGAUAUCAGGAGGAACACCGGUGGCGAAGGCGGAUCUCUGGGCCGAUACUGACGCUGAGGAGCGAAAGCGUGGGGAGCGAACAGGAUUAGAUACCCCUGGUAGUCCACGCCGUAAACGGUGGGCACUAGGUGUGGGCAACAUUCCACGUUGUCCGUGCCGCAGCUAACGCAUUAAGUGCCCCGCCUGGGGGA